rnacentral:tRNA from 1 species
GCCGACCGUCGUCGGAAAGGGUCGCCCCGCCCUUUCAAGGCGGCAGCACGGGUUCGAAUCCCGUUGGGGGCA